rnacentral:tRNA from 1 species
GCAUGUAGCUCAGUGGUAGAGUGCUUGCUUAGCAUGCACAAGGCCCUGGGUUCAAACCUAGCACUGCA